AGUGAACGCUGGCGGCAGGCCUAACACAUGCAAGUCGAACGAGUGGCGGACGGGUGAGGAAUACAUCGGAAUCUCCUCUGUCGUGGGGGCUAACGUAGGGAAACUUACGCUAAUACCGCAUACUAUGGAAUGGGCCGUUGUCGGAUUAGCUAGUUGCCGGGGGAAAGGCCCACCAGGGCGACGAUCCGUAGCUGGUCUGAGAGGCUGAUCAGCCACACUGGAACUGAGACACGGUCCAGACUCCUACGGGAGGCAGCAGUGGGGAAUAUUGGACAAUGGGCGCAAGCCUGAUCCAGCCAUACCGCGUGGGUGAAGAAGGCCUUCGGGUUGUAAAGUACUUUCAGCGGGGAGGCGUUACCCGCAGAAGAAGCACCGGCUAACUCCGUGCCAGCAGCCGCGGUAAUUC
rnacentral:rRNA from 1 species